GGUGCGGUAGCCAAGAGGUAAGGUCCGAAGCUGCAACCUUCGUAUUCAUCAGUUCGAAUCUGAUCCGCACCUCCA
rnacentral:tRNA from 1 species